rnacentral:miRNA from 1 species
CUGGGUGUUGACUGAGAUGUG